rnacentral:other from 1 species
GAUCCUCUGCAGUGUUCGAGGUGCUUUUCAAUAACUGCUCCCGGCCUUUGAAUCAUUACGGGAACCCAAACCGACGUGGAAGCUGCCAGGCCGUAAAUCGGAAGGCAAACGCCGCGGCGGAGGUGCCCACCUUAACAUAAAAGGGACUGGAGCCUUUGGGCAUACGGCACAGGUGGAGGGUCA